rnacentral:lncRNA from 1 species
CUCUUUGAAGUCAUUUAAACAUAUUGAACACAUUUUCUGAUUAUUGAUAUUGCCAUCAUCAUCAACAUCAUCGCCCCAGAAGAAAAUUUUAGUAGAUGCGACUAUUCUGUACUUCAAAUCUUUCUUCAUAACCUUAUUGUUCUCUUUCAAAAACAUCUAAGGUGAAACUAAUAAUUCAUAGUUUAAUUUAAAUGAUACAGAAAAAGAUUCUAUUAAUUUUGUUUUUUGAGCUUCACCAUAUAAGUAUGGAGAUAACUUCUCUAUAAUUCUCUCCAAUACUUGUUUGUUGAUGUGAACGUCGUUAUUUGUGAUCGCUUUGAUAGUAUUUUAUGUCGACGUUAUUUAAGUGAAGUGUUGGUCGGUGUUUGAAAUUAGCUUGGGGACGAAAGAUGUUAUGCUAGCUCUUGAUGAUGGUGAAGAUGAGAUGACUGUAUAUUUUCUUUUCACCAUUUUUCGGAGGUCAUUACGAAUUUCAUAAAAUCGUUUGAUUCAUUCCAUGACAUGAUAGAUGCAGUUGAAUGCAUUGAAGCCAUUAUCAAACUUUCGAUUGAAAUGUGUAAAAGUGUC